GACGAACGCUGGCGGCGUGCCUAAUACAUGCAAGUUGAGCGCUGAAGGUUGGUACUUGUACUUACUGUAUGAGCAGCGAACGGGUGAGUAACUCGUGGGUAAUCUGCUUUUGAGCGGGGGACAACUUUUGGAAACGAAUGCUAAUACCGCAUAAAAACUUUAAACACAAGUUUUAAGUUUGAAAGAUGCAAUUUCUUCACUCAAAGUUGAUCUCGCGUUGUAUUAGUUAGUUGGUGAGGUAAAGGCACACCAAGGCGAUGAUACAUAGCCUACCUGAGAGGGGGAGCGGACACAUUGGGACGGAGACACGGCCCAGACUAAUACGGGAGGCAGCAGUAGGGAAUCUUAGGCAAGGGACGAGAGGAUGACCGAGCAAAGCCGCGUGGGGGGAGAAGGUAUUCGGAUCGGAAAACUAUGUUGGUAGAGAAGAAGGGUAGGGAGAGUGGAGAGAUCAUAAAGUGAAAGUAACUACACAGAAAGGGACGGCUAACUACGUG
rnacentral:rRNA from 1 species